rnacentral:rRNA from 1 species
CCCGCUGAACUUAAGCAUAUCAGUAAGCGGAGGAAAAGAAACUAACAAGUAUUCCCGUAGUAACUGCGAGUGAACUGGGAUCAGUCCAGCGCUUAAUCCCUUCACUUUUGACUAGUGUUUGGGAGGUGUAGCGUAUAGGCCGUGUUCGUUGCAUUGUCAGCUGGUUUAAAUUUUUCUUGAUUGGGACGUUGCAUAGAAGGUGAGAGGCCUGUUCAACCGGCAGAUGGUGUAGCGUUAUACGGUCUGGGAGUCGGGUUGCUUGAUAACGCAGCCCAAAGCAGGUGGUAAAUUUCACCUAAGACUAAAUACUUCUACGAGACCGAUAGCAAACAAGUACUGUGAAGGAAAGUUGCAAAGAACUUUGAAGAGAGAGUUAAAGAGGAAGUGAAACCGAUAAGGUUGAAACGGAUAGAUCCGACGUAUCUGGCCUGUGUUCAUCCGGUUGGUUGUCCUUCGUUGACUUGUCAUUCCGGCUCCUGGUUGGCUCGUUGGCGUUUGGGCGGCUCUACUAGUGCACUUGCAGCUGGUUUGCGCCGAAGCUCGUACUUUGCAUUUGCUGGACGGUUGCUUAGGGGACUCCCUUCGGGUUGAGAAACUUGAGCUUCAGGAAGGCUAUGUGUUGUGCGCUAGCGCUUUGUUCUACGGCUUUCGGUUUGGCUGGCAGUUGGCUGUUUGUUUGCUGGGGCUGUGGUUGCUUGCGACUUGCGGUCUCGGUGCCAUUUGGCUGCUGGUUGAGCCUCGUGGAAAGCUUCGGUGUGAAAAAGUUGGUCAUCUAUCCGACCCGUCUUGAAACACGG